GUUGAGGAGGCGGUGACCGUGGCGGUGUAGGUGGAAGAAGCGGCUGAGGAGGAGGAUGAGGUAGCCAACACUGUUUUUUUAUAUAUAUAUAAAUAUAACCUUGGGCCAUUCACACAUCCCUGUGCCGGCGACUUUGCAUGCGGAUGUCAUACCAUGGUGACCACGAGUAACGAAGAAUCAGGGUUCCAUUCCAUACAGGGACCCUGAGAAACGGCUACCACAUGCAAAGAAAGCAGCAGGCGCGCAAAUGACCCACUCCCGACGCGGGGAGGUAGUGACGAC